rnacentral:tRNA from 479 species
GGAGGAUUCGCCUAGUGGCCUAGGGCGCACGCUUGGAAAGCGUGUUGGGGGCAACCCCUCACGAGUUCGAAUCUCGUAUCCUCCGCCA